UUAAGUCCCGUAACGAGCGCAACCCUUGUCCUUAGUUACCAGCACGUAAGGUGGGCACUCUAAGGAGACUGCCGGUGACAAACCGGAGGAAGGUGGGGAGUGACGUCAAGUCAUCAUGACCCUUACGGCCUGGGCUACACACGUGCUACAAUGGUCGGUACAAAGGGUUGCCAAGCCGCGAGGUGGAGCUAAUCCCAUAAAACCGAUCGUAGUCCGGAUCGCAGUCUGCAACUCGACUGCGUGAAGUCGGAAUCGCUAGUAAUCGUGAAUCAGAAUGUCACGGUGAAUACGUUCCCGGGCCUU
rnacentral:rRNA from 1 species